UUCUUGCAAGGCGUAUUUUCGUCCCAAGAGGUGACGUUUUUGUCACGUGCUUCACGUUCGACCAAUCGGGUAGCCGCGCAAAUCCAAGAUGGCGAUGUCAACAACGUCUAGCGCUGAAGAGGAAAAUACUCUAAAUUACCUUUAAAAAAGUUUGAAAAAAGAACAACAAAAUAUGCUACAAGCAUGUUACGUCUGUUAGGAAUGAAGAGGUGAAUGAUUUCACUAUCAGAAGGUGGGAUACUUACAGGAAUUGUUUAAAACGGUGGCUUUGCUGUGAUGGCGAGUCUCAUAAAGUAGCCGAGUCAUUCAAAUCCUGUAUCGAUGUUGAAUUUAAAGAUAUUCCUGAUGACGCUGGGCUUCACCCGACUUGUUACCGGCGGUUCAUUGAUAAGAAGCGUUUGGAUUCUACCGAAAAACUGGCCAAUCGGCUGGAUGUGGGUCAAGAUGAGUUUGUGGCAUCGGACAUUCCAAAGAAAAAACUUAGAUCGAAGACGGGCUUGCCUAUCGGUUCUGCUGGCCCUGUGCUUCCUGCCAUUUGGAUCAUUUGCAAGAAAACGUACAAGAGAGUUACUGUGGGAGGCAAACGACAGAGGGACCAUCUUUCACAGAAGUGAACCAACCUUUGAUGCCAGCUACAACAUAUUCUGCGAGAGGAUCAUCCGCCAAAGAAUAAUUGUUAAUCAGGAGGUGCUGAGAAUGAAACAGCUAUGACAAAAGUUUUUAAAUAUGGUGCAAAAACAUGAAGAUUGUGAUGCUUCAAACUACGGGCAGGAUCAAUUAAAGAGAAGGCUGACUGGACUUUCCCCAACUGGUGUUUCAAGCGCAACAUCUGCGAACUGGAUUUUGUUGAGACAUUGUCUGCAGAUAAGCUGAUAGACAGGCUACCUCAUCCAUCAGGUACAGACACAACUGAGUCAACUGCAGUAAGCCAAGGUGAAAGUGACACUGAACACAUGGCAAGAACAACAGCUGGUCCGCAAACUACUGAGAACUCGAGGACACUUUAAUGCAGCACUGAUAUUGAAGCAGCUACUAUGUGACUCUCCCGGUAUGACGUGCCCCUGGCCACCCACAUCAGAUGAUUUUAAAUGUGUCCGAUGCAAAAUCUGUUGUGCCACUUGAACUGUACAAUGUUAUUGCUUGGAUUGUAGGUGCAACAGAGGAACCAACAUUAGCCUGUUAUGUUGAUAUUCCAGAAGAUGUUAACCUAAAAGUGAUAUCUGUUUGUCAAGACAUUAUGUAUCUUGCAUCUAAAGGUCAGAGGCAGACACUCAAAUCAUUAUGUCUUGGUCUAAGUAUUGGACAUUUAACAGGUUCCUCACAAGUUGUGUCACUGCUGAGUGGACUAGGACAUUGUGCUUCAUGAGACAUUCUCUCAAAGGUAUAAUGUCUGCCCCUUCACCCAAUGGCAAUGGAUGGCACAUUGAGAGUGGGGAGUUAAAAGUGACAUGGAUGACUACAAAUCCUGCCCCUGAUAGUGUGUUAAAGGUAGUCCACUGCGGCUGCAAGCAGAGCAAAUGUGAGACAGGAAGAUGUUCCUGUAUGUCUGCAAGACUGCCCUGUACUGAUUUGUGUCGGUGCCAAAAUUGUGCCAAUAUUUCCAUGGAAACAGAGGAUAAAAGCACAUGGGAAGAUGGCUCUGAUGAUAAUAAUAGCUAAGAGAUGAACAAUGUCUCCCUCCUUCAGAAUACGCAAAGUCACAGUUAAUCAGUUAGUUCUCUAAUAAAAAAUUUAUUUUUUGCCCCAUUUGAGAAAAAUCCCUCAGAGUAUUUUACUAUUUCUUUUUUUUAAAGUUACUUCAGGUAAAUACUUUAAAAAUAGAAUGAGAGGUUACAGUGCAGUUGACCUUAACAUUUUUUAUAAUAAUCAUAGUUUGUUUGUGCCAAAUUUGAGGAAAAUCUAGAAAAUCUCAAAGAAUUCUUCAGAUAUGGCUUUAACAAUGUGCAAAGUUAAGACAAAAUAAUAAAAAAUGUAUUUGAAGAAAUACUCAAGACCUGCUGUGACAUCAACACAUUGUUUUGUUCAUGUAAAUAUUGUUUUGUACCAUAUUGUGUACAGAUUCUAAACUGUAAUGCAGUUUUUUAUGUAUUUCCAUUUUUCGGCAUUAUUUGAUAAUUUGAUUGAUGUCAGCCAUUUUGGGCCAAAGUGUUCUUUAUUUUAUUACAUUUUUUACUUCCUCUUAUAACACAGUAUCUACUGAAAUUUUUAAUGUAUAAAACAUCAUUGUUUAGCAAAAUGUACCAUGUGUAUGUUCAGAUGUACAGGUUGCUAUUCACUUAUUUUGA